rnacentral:rRNA from 1 species
UCGAGAAUUUUUCACAAUGGGCGAAAGCCUGAUGGAGCGACGCCGCGUGGGGGAUGAAUGGCUUCGGCCCGUAAACCCCUGUCAUUUGCGAACAAACCUUUUCAUUUAAAAGAUGAAGAGCUGAUUGUAGCGAAAGAGGAAGGGACGGCUAACUCUGUGCCAGCAGCCGCGGUAAUACAGAGGUCCCAAGCGUUGUUCGGAUUCACUGGGCGUAAAGGGUGCGUAGGUGGUUGGGUAAGUCUGAUGUGAAAUCUCCGAGCCUAACUCGGAAACUGCAUCGGAUACUAUUCGGCUAGAGGGUUGGAGGGGGGACUGGAAUUCUCGGUGUAGCAGUGAAAUGCGUAGAUAUCGAGAGGAACACCAGUGGCGAAGGCGAGUCCCUGGACAACUCCUGACACUGAGGCACGAAAGCUAGGGGAGCAAACAGG